rnacentral:rRNA from 1 species
CCGCAAGUCCGGACGUCGCGACAGCGGCGCGUCCAAGUCCUUCUUGAAAGAGGCCGAACCACCCGCAGAGGGUGCCAGGCCCGUAGGACCGCCGCCCGGCGUCGGGUCGGAUCUCUCCCUAGAGUCGGGUUGCUCGGGAUUGCAGCCCUAAGCAGGUGGUAAACUCCAUCUAAGGCUAAAUACGACCACGAGACCGAUAGCGAACAAGUACCGCGAGGGAAAGUUGAAAAGAACUUUGAAGAGAGAGUUCAAGAGUACGUGAAACCGUUCGGGGGUAAACCUGAGGAACCCGAAAGAUCGAAAGCCGAGAUACAGCGUCCGGCGCCGCGGGCGAUGCGGCGGCGGCGUGCACUUCUCGGCCGGUAGGACGUCGCGACCCGUUGGGAGUCGCCGACGCAGGAAGGGGACGCGCGGGAAGCUCGAGGCGGCGCGGCGGGACUCGUUCCCGUCGUCUUUGCGUUGCCCCUCGAACCCGCCGCGCCCUCAAAUAGGCGCUCGGCACGCCCGACGCGGCACUCAAACACAGACCGAUGCGUUCGUUCGGCGGUGCGCCUUCGCGGCGCGCCCGACGCCGUCGCGGCCGACGCCCCUCCUAGCGGAGGCGGCGCGCCGCGGCGGUAGGUCUCGGGCGUGUGCUCGCACACACCGACGUCCGAUCGUCGGCGACGCUUUUGCUUCGGGCGUCUUCAGGACCCGUCUUGAAACAC